UACGUAGGGUGCAAGCGUUAAUCGGAAUUACUGGGCGUAAAGCGUGCGCAGGCGGCUUUGCAAGACAGAUGUGAAAUCCCCGGGCUUAACCUGGGAACUGCAUUUGUGACUGCAUGGCUGGAGUGCGGCAGAGGGGGAUGGAAUUCCGCGUGUAGCAGUGAAAUGCGUAGAUAUGCGGAGGAACACCAAUGGCGAAGGCAGCUUGCUGGGACGGUACUGACGCUGAGGCGCGAAAGCGUGGGGAGCAAACAGG
rnacentral:rRNA from 1 species